rnacentral:lncRNA from 1 species
AGUGGGUGUCUAGUAUCUGGGGCAAAGGACCGUGAGGCUGGAGAGAGAAACAGAAGGGAAGAAGGGUCCCUUACUGGCUGUCACAGGAAGCUGUGGGAUGCAGACACAUCCAGGGAAAGGCAGAGGCUGCCUCCAAGGCUACAUGACCUGCAGGCAGCCCCGGACCCCCUGGGGAGGACUCAGGUCUCCACUGAAGGGACAGCCGAACAGAGGGAAAUGGAAGUAGAGCCGUGGGGACUCCUGGGAGGGGGAAGAAGGCAUAGGAGGGGAGAGUGACCAGGGAGACAAGCCCCUCAAGGUCAGAGAGGGAAGCCAGUGGGUCCCCGAGGGUGGGGUCGUGCAGUGAAAUGUACUGUAGGAGGUGGGAGCAGGUGUUGGGAGCACGUGAAAGUCACAGCCAGCCUCAGGCAGCACCACUCAAGUCUAUCUCAGUUGCUUAUCUGGUCCAGAGAGGUUGAAAGGAUGGGAAAGCUUCAAGACUGGAUUCUUCGCAUCUGCUCUAUGACAGAGAAGGUUAGGACCAGAAAGUGGCCUCUGCAAACACAGCCAUUUAUAUGUUUGGACUACUGUGUUUGCUUUGAUUUUCCAGUUUCCUAAAUAAGAAAGGCUGCUGCUUAAGAGUCCAGUCUGAUCUCAACUAAGGGGAAAAGACAUUUGUUUCAUUUCCAUUAAGGGUGGGAUGUGGAGAGGGAUCAGUCCCUCUUUGGUGACACCCUAAGGCAGGUCCUGGGCAUCCAAUCAGCUCCUGAGCCAAGAGGGUCAGUAGAACUAGAUGCCAGGAUCCCAGAGCAGACACCAGAAACCAAGGGCUUCUGGGGCAAUCAACCCCCACCUGCUGCCUGAAAGGCUUCCUUUGCCCACUACUUUCCAGGACCAGAGAGAGAAGCAUCCCUGCUGAUGAGAAAGAACAGACACUCCCAGAGGACAAGGUCCACCUGUCAGGCAGCCACAGCCCAGCAUACUCUGGAGUCUGAGGUGGGGGUCAGUUGUGAAGAAAGGGAAGAAGGAAGAAAAAGGAUACGUUGUGCUCCGACCACAGGCCAAGGUACAAAGAAGAGGGGAAAAGAAAAUAGCUGGGCCCUGAGACUCAUACCUGUAAUCCCAGCACUUUGAGAGGCUGAAGCAGAAGGUUUGGUUGAGUCCAGAGUUUGAGACCAGCCUGGGCAACAUAGUGAAACCGUGUUAAAAAAUACAAAAAUUAGCUGGGUGUGGUGGCAUGCACCUGUAGUCCCAGCUACUCAGGAGGCCAAGGUGGGAGGAUUGUUUGAGCACAGCAGGUUGAGGCUGCAGUGAACCAUGAUUGCACCACCGUACUCCAGCCUGGGAGACAGGGUGAGACACUGUCUCAAUCAAUCAAUCAAUCAAUAAAAAUAGAAGACUUACCUUGCCCACUAGGGAGGGGCUCACUAGUGAGAGAACCACAGGGUUCUCUUUCACUUACUAGGGAAAUGGCUUCCCCAGAGAAUGGUCUUUAAUUUCAAAUGAGUCCUACACAAAUAUGUUUUCAGGACCCCAGGAUUGGCAGAACCCAUGCACCCUCACAGGCACCCCAAAAGUCUCCCCCGGGGCCUACCUACAGUUGAGUUGUCAGAUAAAAUACAGGAUGCCCAGUUAAAUUAAAUUUCAGAUAAACAAGCAGUGGUAUUUUCAUAUCAGUGUGUCUCAUGCAAUAUGUGGGACAUGGUAAUGCUGUAAAAAUUAUUUAUUGUUUAUCUGAAAUUCAGAUUUCACUGGACAUCCUCUAUGCUUUCUUGUUAAAUCUGGUAGCCACCAGCAGUUGUUGCUUUUCAAGCUAUAAGAGAUGGAUUAUGGCUUAACAGGCUGCCAGACAAGAUGACAUCACAGAUGAUUGGCUGGGUUACUGCAAGAGUUUCAGCCCUUCCUAGACAUGUCCAUACUUUUGACUGCCAUUUAUAAACAUCUGAUUCAACUGGUUUAACCAGAAGAACAGUUAUUGUCCCUGUAACCAGGAAUCCAGAGACAAGGCGAGCUCCAGAUGCAAUGUGAUUGAUAGUGAGUGUCACGGAGGACUUUCCAUCUGUCCCUCUGUCAUCCUCAGUAUUGAUUCCACCCCUGGGCUGAGGGCAAGUGGUGGCAGCAGGCACAGCGUCCCCUCCAGACACAGCUGUGUCAUUGGCAUGGCUUCUGAGAUGUGGUGGAAGGACAGGACUAAGACACAAGAGCUAUUCAGGAUCCCACAGCAUCCGGAUGUCUUCGGACUUAUGGCCAGUGAAGAACAUGAAGAGAAGGGCAGAGCUGAGUCAGAGUCAGCAUGUCAGCUGGAGGAAGUCAUCUGACAUUUUAUGAUGUGUAUUCACAUCUGAAGGGAACAAUGGGAGUGAGUGCAGCAACCACGAAAACAUGCCCCAUGGAAACUGGCUGGUCAGAAGACGGUAUUUACCAAGUCUCUUCCCAAAAUACUUGCAAAUGCACAUAAUCUCAAAGUGUUUUUGAGGGCUCUUCCGAUCUAAAAUUGGUCCUAGUGACAAGGGGUGUUUGGGGAAAUCAAAGGGCUGGCUUAACUAUGUAGACCUAGGUCUGGUCUUAUUUCUGGCCCAUACGAUCAUCAUGACCUUGGACAAAUGAAACUUCCUGGGCCUCAAGUUCCUUGUAUCAGAAAGGAUGGCAUUCAGCUGCGUACAACAGAAAACCAAAUCACAGUGGCUUAUCCAAGAAAAGUUCAAUUUUUCUCAAAACUACAGCGUCCUGGGCUGAUGCGGCAGCCCCAGGACGACCUCAGCAUCUCACUCCUCCUUUCUUUACUCGGCCCCAUCCUCAGGCUGUGACUUUCAUCCUCAGGUUUGUCAUCUUUUGGUGGUAAGAUGGUUGCUCUACCUCAAGCUCACAAAAAGAAAUGGGGGAAAGCAGGAAAGAAGAAAAUCUGCUUCCCCAGAGACUCUGAGGCUGCACUUGCACAUCUUAUGGAUCCAAACUGUGUCCCAUGGCUGCCCCUAGAUGCAAGGGGCCUGGGGAAAUGAGCGGAUUCAUCAGGUACACUGCAACCGUACAUGAAAGGAAAGUUCUGUCAAUAAAGAAGAGCGAAAUCUACAUUUGGUCAGGAAACAGCAUUGCCUGCAAUAUGCCUCAUAUGAAAUAAAGCCUUUCUUGCCCCCAUUCUGCUACUCGGUCAUUCUUGCACUCAACAAAUAGAUGUUGAGUGCCCACUCUCUCCAGGCCAUGUUCUAGGUGCUGCGGAUGCAAUCCUGAAUCUAUGAACACGAUUGGCAGAACAAUAAAUAUUGAUUGUCUUGGCCACUCACCAAAUAAAGUGCUCCUGGGAAGGCUGAGAUCUAAUGCAAAGCAGCAGCUUGACUUUCUCACUCCCUGGCAACAAUGCCAAGCAAGAGAAAGCGAUGGGUAAGGCCUGGCUCAAGAGUCUCACUGCAACCUGCACUGUAGAUUCUACCUGCUAAUUUCCUCAGCCUUCUCUGGUUUUGGGCUUCAGAAUGCCCUAACUCUGGGCCCGGCGCGGUGGCUCACGCCUGUAAACCCAUCACUUUGGGAGGCCAAGGCGGGUGGAUCACAAGAUCAAGACCAUCCUGGCCAACAUGGUGAAACCCUGUCUCUACUGAAAAUACAAAAAUUAGCUGGGCAUGGUGGCUUGUGCUUGUAAUCCAGCUACUUGGAAGGCUGAGGCUGGAGGAUCGCUUGAACCCAGAAGGCAGAGGUUGCAGUGAGCUGAGAUCACACCACUGCACUCCAGCCUGGCAACAGAGUGAGACUCUGUCUCAAAAAAAAAAAAAAAAAAAAAAAGAAUGCCCUAAGUCUACUCUGGACCAUGAGCAAGGAUAAUCUGUCUUAGAGGAGAGAAGGUGAGGUUAUGAUUCCAGAGCAUUUGGUGACCCAGGAAGUAGACCUGCCUCCUCCUAUCUGUCCACAGAGCAGUCCUAGGGGCAAUAGGCCAUGAGAAGAUCAUGCCAGGCAGUCCAUUUCUAUAUUACCAUGUAAACAAAAACUCAGCUGUGAACCCUGGAACGUUCGUAUUCUGCAGCUGCCAGUGUAAACUGGUACAGGCCUCUUGAAGAACAGUGGGGAAAGGCACUCUGAAAGCAUCCACGCCUCCAUACCUGCUGAUCCAGGGCUCUGAUUUUCCUUCUGGGAACCAAGCCUAGGAGAAUGAUUCAAGCUGCAGAAAACCUUUCUCCACUAAGAUGUUUGCUGUGGCAUUCAGUAUAAUAGCACACCAGAGAAACAAUCUAAAGAUUCAUCAGUAGGAGAAUAUCUAAGUAAAUUAUGGUACAUACACUCAAUAAAAUGUUAUAUGACUACU